AAAAAUGACUCUCGGCAACGGAUAUCUCGGCUCUUGCAUCGAUGAAGAACGUAGCGAAAUGCGAUACUUGGUGUGAAUUGCAGAAUCCCGUGAACCAUCGAGUCUUUGAACGCAAGUCGCGCCCAAAGCCAUUUGGUUGAGGGCACGCCUGCCUGGGUGUCGUG
rnacentral:rRNA from 1 species